CCUACGGGUGGCAGCAGUGGGGAAUAUUGCACAAUGGGGGAAACCCUGAUGCAGCGACGCCGCGUGAGUGAAGAAGUAAUUCGUUACGUAAAGCUCUAUCAGCCGGGAAGAAAAUGACGGUACCUGAGUAAGAAGCCCCGGCUAACUACGUGCCAGCAGCCGCGGUAAUACGUAGGGGGCAAGCGUUAUCCGGAUUUACUGGGUGGAAAGGGAGAGUAGACGGUGCGCCAAGUCUGGAGUGAAAUGCCGCAGCUUAACUGCGGAACUGCUUUGGAAACUGGCGAACGAGAGUGCGGGAGGGGUUAGCGAAAUGCCGAGUGUAGAGGUGAACUGCGUAGAUAUUAGGAGGAACACCGGUGGCGAAGGCGGCUUACUGGACCGUAACUGACGUUGAGGAUCGAAAGCGUGGGGAGCAAACAGGAUUAGAUACCCUUGUAGUC
rnacentral:rRNA from 1 species